AUUGAACGCUGGCGGAAUGCUUUACACAUGCAAGUCGAACGGCAGCACGGGGGCAACCCUGGUGGCGAGUGGCGAACGGGUGAGUAAUACAUCGGAACGUGCCCAGUCGUGGGGGAUAACGUAGCGAAAGCUACGCUAAUACCGCAUACGAUCUGUGGAUGAAAGCGGGGGACCGCAAGGCCUCGCGCGAUUGGAGCGGCCGAUGGCAGAUUAGGUAGUUGGUGGGGUAAAGGCCUACCAAGCCGACGAUCUGUAGCUGGUCUGAGAGGCACGACCAGCCACACUGGGACUGAGACACGGCCCAGACUCCUACGGGAAGCAGCAGUGGGGAAUUUUGGACAAUGGGCGCAAGCCUGAUCCAGCCAUUCCGCGUGCAGGAUGAAGGCCCUCGGGUUGUAAACUGCUUUUGUACGGAACGAAAAGGCUUUCUCUAAUACGGAGAGCUGAUGACAGUACCGUAAGAAUAAGCACCGGCUAACUACGUGCCAGCAGCCGCUGUAA
rnacentral:rRNA from 1 species